UGGGGAUGUUGAUGCGCUAUGCCUCCUGGCUUAAUUCUAGGUUGUCCUAUGGGAUGUAAACAGGAACAAAGGACAGCUUUCACAUCCAUUCGAAGUGACUCUAUCUGAAGACCAGCAUUUCUCAAGGAUACCACAUUACAUCUACUUAUCAUGCCUCCUUAGGCUCCUCUGGGCUGUAACAGUUUCUGAGACCUCCCUUGUUUGUCACGAUCUUGGCUGUUUUGAGGAGUACUGGUCAGGUAUUCGUCGCUUCCAUGUGUCCAUAUUUUAAAUGAUCUACAAAAACAACAGA